rnacentral:rRNA from 1 species
UGGUGGGGUGACUUGUCUGCCUAAUCGCGAUAACGAACGAGACCGCGACCGCUAAAUAGCCCGCAUUGCUUUGGCAGUGUGCUGGCUUCUUAGUGGGACUAUCGGCUCAAGCCGAUGGAAGUACGCGUCAAUAACA